AACCGCCGUGUACGGAACCGUACGCACGGUGGUGUGGGAGGAGGGAUGCCGUAAGGCCCCUCCUACCCGAU
rnacentral:ncRNA from 1 species